rnacentral:rRNA from 1 species
GAUGAACGCUGGCGGCGUGCCUAAUACAUGCAAGUCGAGCGAACGGACGAGAAGCUUGCUUCUCUGAUGUUAGCGGCGGACGGGUGAGUAACACGUGGAUAACCUACCUAUAAGACUGGGAUAACUUCGGGAAACCGGAGCUAAUACCGGAUAAUAUUUUGAACCGCAUGGUUCAAAAGUGAAAGACGGUCUUGCUGUCACUUAUAGAUGGAUCCGCGCUGCAUUAGCUAGUUGGUAAGGUAACGGCUUACCAAGGCAACGAUGCAUAGCCGACCUGAGAGGGUGACCGCCCACACUAGAACUGAGACACGGUCCAGACUCCUACGGGAGGCAGCAGUAGGGAAUCUUCAGCAAUGGGCGAAAGCCUGACGGAGCAACGCCGCGUGAGUGAUGAAGGUCUUCGGAUCUUAAAACUCUGUUAUUAGGGAAGAACAUAUGUGUAAGUAACUGUGCACAUCUUGACGGUACCUAAUCAGAAAGCCACGGCUAACUACGUG